rnacentral:lncRNA from 1 species
GUGGACCAGUCCGGUGAGGUCCACCGGAGAAGAAGACCGGAGCUCUGGCUCCGGUGGUGUGUUGGCAUGUCUCCCAGCCACAAGAUCCAUUCAAAUUGUUUUAAUCUUAGGUGUUGGAUUUGAUUACCACGCCGGUGGCGCGCUGACUAGGUUCGAUCAUGGAACGCGCGUUUGUGUCCAAUUGAUAUGCCACCUCAAUUUGUGAGGGAGAUC